rnacentral:lncRNA from 1 species
UGUUUGGUUCUCCUCUACCCGUCCACCGCCAUCGUAAGUUUAGCUUUUCAAAAUUAAUUUUAGGUGAAGCUCCAAUUCCUAGCUUCUUGAAAUUGAUUCUCUCAACCUCACAUAUGAGUUGAUCAAUUUCUCCUUUUUACCCUUUUGUGUACGAUUGAAAUGGUUUGAUACAGGGCUUUCAAAAAUCUGUCGUUCCUUAGUUUGAGGUGCUCCUUUGCAAUGAUUUUUCUUUUUUACUCUGAAUUUUGGAAUGAUACUGUACAUAGCAGUGGGUAGAUCAGCAACAUGUUGAAGGUUGAAGAUGAAUAGAUCAAUAAUGGAGCAAGGAAGAAAACAGACAGAAAGAGAGAGGGAUACGGUGCAUGAGAGCAUGUGACUCAAUUAAGUGGAGUUUUAAUCCAAACCAUUUAUUUCAAUCAGAUGGUUGAUAAUAAUAUUCUCUCACUCUGACCCCUUUU